GUUUUAAAAAAGCUUUACAACAGCAUGCUGUUCAUAUUAUGGUUUCAUAUAUAAAAUCCAUUAAAUGUUAAAUCUGUUUGUCAGUUCUUCUUUAUCUUUUUGUUUCUUUCUUUCCUUUUGUAUGAUUUUUUUCUUACAGGAAUAAAUACAAUACCUAAAGUAUUAGUGGCUCUCAUUCAAGCUAUAAAUCUUAAAGUUGAAUAAUCCACCAUUAUUAAUUCUGAAGUCAAAAACAAUGUGUAAAAGUGUUGAAAAGUAAUUGAAAGAUUAACAAGUGUGUUAUAUUUGCUGUUUUCAUGUUCAAAAUAUGUAAACAAACUUAUUUUCCCACAUUCUUUAUUUUGCAUUUACACAUUUGAAGACUUUCUCAUUUUCUUGAAGUAUUUAUUAGAGUGGUGAGCCAAGUUUCACAUUUUGGUAACUUCAUUAGCAUGUUAUUACUCUACUCGAGAAAAUUGAAUAAAAAUUAGUUAAGUUUCCAAUAUUUCAAACAAGACAGAGUAAAAAGAGAGAUGACAGGUGUACCAUCAGCUUCUUGUUAACUAAAGUCUCAAAUGUGUCCAAAGUUUAAAGUUUUAAAUAUUUCAAACCUACCUUUAUAGUCAGUUUAUUCUAUAAAGACAAAUAUUGGACCAUGUUAAUUUCUGCAGUUUGACUUUUGAAGUGAAUACAAACAGGUAUCUUAUAAUUAAAAAUGUGGUUCAGUUACUUGGUUUAGGCAAUGAUAGGAAAAAAUGGUUGUGAUACAAUGAACAUCAAGAAAAGUACUAGUUAAAUGUCAAAAAAACACUAAAAACAAAACAAAUAAUUCUAUAUUUCUUCUAUACCCGCAAUAAGUAACAAUAACAAAAAUAAAAAAAAUAUAAAAAGGUCCUAAUGCAUUAUGGUUGUAUAUGUUACUUGCUUGAGACUGUUGGACAAUUUGUGAUAAUAUUGGGUAGAUCUCUUCACCUGAUAUAUUUAUAAUUUAAUAUUACCCUGUAGCUUCUAUGUACGGAUCAAGACUGAGGGGCAAACCUUUUCUAUUUUAAGAUUUUUGAUGUAGGUGUAGGUGUAGUGGUUUUAUGUCAAGUGUUAAUACAUUUAUUUUUCUUUUCCAUUACAAGGAUAUUAUAACACACUUUUAGAAUAUUUAAAGAAAUAUUUGUUUUAGUCAUGAUUUACAAAAAAAAACAGGUUUUUAAAGUGUUAUCAGAAACAUUUUGGACAAUAAUAGUCAUUUUGCGUGACCAAAUUAAAAACAACUGUUUCAACUAGAUGUACCAUCAUGCUAUGACUGUUAUACUUUUGCUUAGAUGUUUCUGUCUGCAAAAUAAAAGUAGCAGUAGUAUACCCCUGUUCAAAAGUCAUAAAUUGAAUCAGCAAAAAUAAGUAACCAACCAAAACUGGGGGAAACACAUCAACUAUAAAAGGAAAACAAGGGAACAACAAACACUGAACUGCAACAAAAACAAACGCCAACAUACAAAGAAACAGACUAUGUGAGU
rnacentral:lncRNA from 1 species